GGACCGUAGCGCCGGGAAGGCGGCCAGAGGGUAACACCUGCCGGGGCGGGAGGCGCGGGGGCCUCCAGGUGCACACACCUGCGCGUGGGCUGGGCUCGGGCCGGCCGGGACCCUGGACCCUGGACCCCGGACCCCGCGCCCCCGACCCACAGCCGCACGACCGCGGUGCCAGAUGGGGGAAGGGGACGCGGGCGGCGGCGACACUCACCCGGCAGCGCCUCCUCCUUCGCCGGCAGCAGCAGCAGAGCCAGCGACCCCCGGCACCAUCUUCCGCCGCCGCCUAGUCGUCGGCGGCGGCUACCAACCGCCCAUUCGGCAGCGCCAACAGACACGACCGCCGGCGUCCCGGGCGCCCGCCCGCCGCGGCCCCUAACUCUAGGCAAGCGGGAGGGAUCCGGGCGGAGAAGGACGCGGGCAGGCAAAUGGGGGACCCUGAGGCAACGCCGAGGGCUCGGCAGGGCCGCGGACGCCGCCGCAGCUGGGUUUGUUAUUGUCGACUCGGUCUCUUCCUCCGCGGCGCAUGCCGGGAAACGGCCGGCCGGGGGAGGGGCGCGCCUGGAGGCGCAGAGAGGCGUCUGCGCAGGUCCGGAAGUCGGCAGACUGCCGGGAACGGGGCGGUGCCGCCUCCGGCUCUCAGCCGGCCGGGCAAGUUGGCUGUCCUGGCCUGACCCUGGGAGACUCCGCGGGGGCCGCCUGCCGUGGUGUUAGCUGCCGUCCCAGCGCGGACUUUCCCAAGACGCGGACCGCCGGGACCGCACGCCGCUGGCAAGCGCCCCCCAGUUAGCUCUGCAAGGGUGGGCGGCACCGAUUUUCUCAGACCUGGCGAGGCAGGAAAACAUCCGAGAGAGAGAAGAGUGAACUAGGCCGAUCGCAGUGAAAACGUCAACGCCACAACCGCGUCUCCAACUUCACGACGUGAGUCCUGUAGCGGGUCUG
rnacentral:lncRNA from 13 species